UACGUAGGGUGCAAGCGUUGUCCGGAAUUAUUGGGCGUAAAGAGCUCGUAGGCGGUCUGUCGCGUCGGAUGUGAAAAUCCAGGGCUUAACCCUGGGCCUGCAUUCGAUACGGGCAGACUAGAGUUCGGUAGGGGAGACUGGAAUUCCUGGUGUAGCGGUGAAAUGCGCAGAUAUCAGGAGGAACACCGAUGGCGAAGGCAGGUCUCUGGGCCAUAACUGACGCUGAGAAGCGAAAGCAUGGGGAGCGAACAGG
rnacentral:rRNA from 1 species